rnacentral:lncRNA from 1 species
GGCUACCUUAAUUGCUGUAGAUCGCAGCUCCUCGUUACUUUCAAAACUGUCCCCGGCAAUCUUCCUAAAGAACUCCCAAGCUUCUUCGUUUUCUAAAUCACCAAUUGCAAAGGUCUUUGUAGCAUCCAUCCCGUUGCUUAGAACAUUUUGAUCUCUUGUGGUCAACAGUAUUUUGCAUCCUUUGUGUCGACUUCCAAAUGGAAUUCCGACUUCCUCUAGAUCCAGUUUCUUCCAAAGAUCAUCCAAAAUAAUAAGAACAUUUUUCUCCUUCCUCAAUCUUUCACACAAUCUACGGGCUCUUACAACCGGACUGUUUUCUUCAAGCUUCAAACCCAAUGAGUAUGCUAUUUGCUCUUGGAUUUCCUUAAUGUCAGGAAUUCGAGAUACAAUUGCCCUGACUACUGAAUCGAAUAACUUAACCUCAUGGAGUUGUCUCUCAACUUCUUUGACCAGAGAUGUUUUGCCCACACCAGCCAUCCUGUACACUCCAAUCAUGCCUGUUGUUGCAUCUUUCAGUGACUCCAUGAUAUCAUCGAAAACCUCCUCUCUUGAUUUAAAUGCCUCAAAGUCUGGAUGGACUAUGGGUCCAGGAACAUCAUGGUAUCCCACGCGCUCAAAUUGGCAAUCUUUGAUAAGCUCAUCAAAAGUGGCAGCAGCUUCUUCAGCUUUCCUGCUAAGCUGGUAGCGAGACUUGAUGUUAGGACACAAGCCAAAGAAGCGCUUGGUCUUCGCUUUGACUUCAAGAUCCUUCACUUUCUUCUCCUUUUCAGUGACAACCUUCUCCACUCGCUGGCGCCAAUCCAGGACAUCGGCUUUAAUCUUCUCCCCGUUCCUUUCUGCAACAUCAACAUCUUGCUGCACACUUGUUCUUUUUGCAAUCAACGUCCUGUGUUUCUGCUCGAACUUGUCAACAAUUUUCUGGUAGAAGACUACAUAUCUAAUAUGACGUUUAACUUGGUGGAAAAUACCUUUGGCAGCCUCGGAAGAGACAUUGGCAGCAGCACCAGUACCAAUUGCAUCCAUUUUUUUUUCUUUUUUUGCUUUGGGGUUACAAAUGACGGACAGAGAAAGUAAAAAAGAGGCAAGAAAGAAAUUAGUAAAAGGAAAGAAGCAAGCAAGAAGAAAUCAAAAAUGAUGUGAAGAAGCCAUUAGCGGAUAUGAAAUAGAAAUUCUGAAUGGCAUGGAAUUGGAUAUGGACUGUUGCCUUCGACUCUGUGAGACUUCAGAUUAGAAGUCAAAGAACCAGCAAAAGAAAACAGAGAAUGACUGUGAACUUCAAUUUUAAAAAAUACAUAAUUAUUUAUCAACUUAUCUAUUAACUUCUAUAAAGAGGGUGAGUGAUCUUUGUACAGCCCAAUUUUGCCCUAAUUCCAUUACCCAAUUUGCCUUGGCCCAAUUCCAAACCCACCUAGACCUAGCCUAACCCGGAGCCCAAAACAAGACCCAACUAGCCCAACCCCCUCAAAGCUAAGCUAGGGUUUCAGAAAAGAAACCCUAGCGCCGCAUCUAUGGUCUUUAGACCUUCGGCCUUCUGGCGCCGUCGCCGUACCCCGCACCCUUGACCCUCUACGCCACCCUCAUUUGUCGCGUCCCAUCCGCACCUACUAGCUUCAUCAACACCUGCAACACAAAGCAACAGAGGACACAAAAAUGCAAAAAAUAGAAAACGACAGCAGAUAAAAAAAUUUUUUUGAUUGUAAUAUUGGUUCUGUUUUAUCUUAGGUAUAAAAGGCCAUUUUCUGGAAUCUAAAAGAUAUAUUGUAAACAGAACAGGAAAUCAAUAAAAAAGGUGAUUUUCGAAAGGCUCAUUGGUUUUCCGUUUUUCUUUUUCUCUUUUUUUCUGGGUUUUCUUUUCGGUUUUGAUUUUGAUUCAUCUUAGAAAAAGAACAAAAAAACAAAGUUUAAAAGGGAGGGAGAUUACCUUGUGGUCACGAUCUUGGCCCUCCUCGUCGCCAUCGGAGAACGGGCUAAGGUCGAGGGCCGUUUGAACGCCAUCAUUGUCGGAAGGGCGCGGAGGAGAGAGCAUUUGGCUCUCUGUUUUCUUUGUUUCCUUUUUCUUUUGUUAAGGGAUGAGUGUAGGUUACCAGAUUAGGUUUUGGGGGGGGACUAUUGUAUGAUGUGAAACGACGCCGUUUGGAGUCUGAUCAGUAACUCCAAAACGGCGCCGUAUUGGGCUCUGACCCGCGCGUUUUUGACUCCUGGGAUAAUUCCUGCCUUGGUCCCUCCGUAUUUCUUAUCUGUUUAAUGCGGUCCUCUUUUUAUAUUUGCAAUUUUGGCAUCGAUUUCUGCUUCUGUUUCAGUUCGGUCCCUGGACUAUGCGCAUUGACUUCGUUGGAACUGUGUCGUUUAAUCGACAAGGGUUAUUUCCCUAUCCAGUCCUCCGCUUUUUCUAUGCGCAUUCAGAAUAGUCCCUCCGCUUUAAUUUAUUUAUGUUUUGACCCCGAAUUUCGUUUAGAUCUUUAGUUUAGUCCUUUUUAUUUUUUAUAUUUUCUUAAUAAAUUUAUUAUUAUUGUUGUUAUUAUCAUUAUUAUUAUUAUUUCUUCCUAUUUAUUUUUAUUUAUUUUAUUUAAACCUUUGGCACGUAUAUAUAUAUAUAUGCAUAUAUUUGUAUGACAUACAUGCAUUAUUCUUAUAAUAUAUAUAUACUUACAUGUUUUCAUACAUUUUAUAACUUAUGUACAUAUCUAUAGAUCUAUAUACAUGUUUUCAUUCUUAUAAAUAUAUACAUAUUUAUAUAUAAUCUUUAUAGUUUAAAAUAUACUUUUUUUAUUCUUAAAAUCCACAUACAUACACCUUUUCAAUAUACUUUUAACAUGUAUAUAAAUUAACGUAUUUAUUUGUAUACAUAUGUAUAUUUUCAUAUUUUAAAACUUUAAUUUGUACAUAUAUAUUUUUUCUUUUACUUUACAAUAUGUAUACACUUACUUUUAUAUGUAUUUCUUUAUUCUCGUAUUCCAUUAGUUUUAUACAUCUAUAUACAUGUACAUGUUUUUAUAUAUACGUAUAUUAAUUUAUUUUAUUAAAAUAUACUUUAUAUAUUUUAUUAAUUCAUGUAUACACAUAUUUUAGCUCAUGUCUAUAUAUAUCUUUUUAUACUUAAUUGUAUUUGCUGUUUAUUUAUUUCAUUUUCGUCAUUAUUUUGAAUGGAUGAUUUAAAUUUAUUCGUUUUUUAUAUUGUGUUAUUUUGUAUGUUAUAAAUUUGAUCGUUCAAAUUAAUUGCUAUCGUUUGCAUCGUUUUUAUAUUUUCAUGUUCAUUAUGAUCUUGCUAUGCAUAAAUAAUGUAAUUUGCUUUCACUAUGAUUUUGUGCUUUAUUUUUUUAUUCGAUGUAACAAAAUUUAUUUUUUUCAAAAAAUAGCAUUUCGUGUUUGGAAUCGAGAAAAUCGUGCCCUAACUUACUGGGUUUCGUUUUUCUUGAUAAAUCUAAAUGCACGAAUCUUUUCAAGCUCAAAUUUUAAAUGAUCCCGGGAUCUUAAAAAGAGUCGCGUCCUAACUUACUGGUCGUGAUCUUAUUUUAAAUCCGAGACGGCUAAAAUAUCUUUUAGAUAAGCAUUUUUUAUUCGCGUAUCGGGAAUUUGAGACAUUGUAUUCUAACUCACUGGAUAUGAUUCUCUUUCUCGAUUAACGUGAAAUAUACUUCUUUUCCCAAAACUUUAAUGCCAGGAUCGUAUUUUUUUUAAUUCUUUCAAGUUCUCAAUUUUCGACAUCAAGACAUUAGAUAAUCAACUAGGUACCAAUUUCUGGGCGUUACGAGGGUGCUAACCCUUCCUCGUACGUAACCGACUCCCGAACCCGUUUCCUAAAUUUAGUAGACCAAAACCGUUGUUUUAAUAAAAUCAAAUUAUUUAUUAAAAACAACCUCUUUCCAAGGUGAUCCAAUCACACCCCAAAAAGGAUUGGUGGCGACUCCCGUUUUUUUUUUCGUUUUCAUCAAAACCCAAGUCGACCCCGUUUUCAUCGAAAAAUGGUGCCAACAGCUUGGCGACUCCACUGGGGACAUGUUAAGAGAGUCAAGCCACGUGUUGAUUAUUUCUUGUCUUUUUGUCGAAAGUUGAAAAUUCGAUUGAAAUUUACGAUCCUCUCAUUGCAUCUCUAUUGUUUUGAGUUAUAUUUUUAUCGUGUUCUGUAUUUUAUUUUAUACCUCUGCGCAUUGCAUUGCAUGACCGUUGGUCACACCUUUUUAAGUGGGAGUGAGAAGCUACGCCUUCGUGAGGUUUUCACCUCCGCAUGGGAUAGUGAAUCGCUUUCGGGAUAUAUCUGUACCUAUGUCUUCGUGAGAUUUUCAUCUCCGCAUGGCCAUAGGGAAAUGUAUCCCCCUGAAUCGAACUUGGUCCGUAUGAGCCUAUAAUGGGUGAGGAUCGAGGAAUUUGCUGGUUCAGGUACCCUACUUUAGAACCAAACCACAUGUAAUGAGCCAUAGGAACCGACCUAGGUAGAGUUACUCUAAAUUUUUAGUGCUUACUUAAAUGAAUGUUGUAUUUAUUUAUCGUUUAUUUUAAAUCUUAUUCUGUGUUUAAUGCUAAUUUACUUUGUUUGUGAUUGCAUGGCAUCUUCAUUCUAAAAGAGGUGUUGAUUUACGUUCAGUUUCUUGGUAGAAAGCUUAUCAUGGAAAAGGGGUUUGUUGAUAAAGUAGAGGAUAAUGCGGCUGUGCGAAUAUGGGCUGAAACUACGCAACGGGAGAAAGGCGAUAGUCUUACCGAAGGGUACGUGUCAGAAUUGUGGGAUUUUACCCGUAUCAGUGUAAUCCAGAAUGACCUUCGAGAAAUGAAAGAAGUCUGGGAUCAAUGGGAUGUCGAGGCCAAGCAGCUGUUCUAUUGUAACUACGGUGACCUACCUUAUCUGCUUAGUGUCAAAGUGGACAAGUAUUUAUUCCGAGCCCUUGCUCAGUUUUGGAAUCCUGCCUACAGUUGUUUCACUUUUGGGAAGGUAGAUUUGACGCCUACUGUGGAGGAGUAUACGACCUUGCUUCGGUGCCCAAAGAUUCAAGUCGACAAGGCUUAUUCCAGAGCUGCUUGUGUCCCUCCGUUGUUAAAAAAAUUAAUGAACAUCACUGGGAUGAGCGAGCAGUGGGUCGCUGCCCGGAUCCAACAGAAGGGCGACAGUAAAUGUGUUCCUUGGAAAAGUUUGCGAGACUUGGUUCUUACACAUCCUGACUUAAAGAAAAGGGUCGAUGUCUUCGCUUUAGGUAUCUAUGGACUAGUGGUUUUCCCCAAAGCUCUAGGACACAUAGACGAGGCUGUAUCUGAUUUGUUCGAUCGGCUUAGUAAGGGGGUUACACCGGUUCCGGCAAUACUCGCUGAAACUUUUAGGUCCCUGAAUGCGUGUCGAAAAGCAGGGGAGGGAAGGUUUAUUGGAUGCGCGCAGCUCUUAUUGGCAUGGUUCCAUAGCCACUUCUGGAAGGUCGAAAAGGUCUCCUAUCGGGUUUUCUCUGAUAACUACUCCCCUCUAGGAGAAUUGGUGGCCACGCCAAGACGGGAUGAUAUUUCAGAAGGAAAAUGGAUAGAGAUACUUCAGAAUCUCCAGGAUGAAGAUAUUGAAUGGAGGGCUCCUUGGUUAAUUCCUGAUGAGAUAUUGUACCGAUGUGGAGAUUUUGACUGGGUUCCGCUGCUCGGAAUAUGGGGAGCUAUCGGAUAUGCUCCUCUACUCGUAUCAAGACAGUAUAGAUCACGACAAUUCAUACCAGCAACGCAAGGGUUGGCUUAUAGUGAUUUUUCCUAUAGGGAGGACAACUACAAGAAGAAGGUUCGAGAAAUAUCUAGUGCCUGGAACCAAACUCGUCGAGUGAAGAUCUUAACCGUGGGUCCGACAAUUACCCCCGAGUAUGGUCAGUGGCGUGAUCAAAGGAUCAACGACAACAUCCCGGCGUCAAAUUCAGAAACUGCUCGAUCUUUAGAGGAACGCUUACAAGUUUUGCCUUCUGAGAUGGAAAUCAUCAAACAAGAAUUUGAAAAAAGGAGUUUAGAAUUGGGGAAGAAGAUAGAACAACUAGAGGAAGAAAAAAUGCAGUUAGGACUGGAUGUGGACAUUCAAAGAUUAGAGGCCGAUAAAUUGAGAAAAGGAAAGAACAAAGCAGAAGAAGAUUUAGACAGCCUGAAGACAGAUUACAAGAAGUUGCGCAGGUCGGUAAGAACUGUUGGCUUGGGUAAAACGUCAGAACAGUGGCGACAAGAAAUUCAAGAGGAAAAGACGAGAGCUAAUCAAUGGGAAAAGAAAUUUCAGGAUACUCGGGCUCGAGAAGUCGCCUUGGGAAACAGUCUACUAGUUUGCCAAGAUGAGAAGACGGAGCUGAAGGUCCGGAUAACCGAACUAGAAAGAUCGCUUCACCAGUACUGUAAUCGUAAUGCUACGGUUGAAUUAAGGGCGAGCUUAGACAAAAUUGAAGAAUUAAAAGGACAAAUAGGAGAGCUAGAAAAUGCAUUGCAGAAUAGUGAAAUCCGGAUAGAACUUCUGGAAGAAAAUAAUGAGCAGUGGCAAAGACAAUUCCGUCGGUCUCAAGAGCAAAUUAGAGAAAGAGAUUAUAUUAUGGGAGAGGCGGUGGCUCAAGUGCGCGAAGUAGCUGAUCAUCUGCAGACUUUAGCGGUUCAGGCUGAUCUAUUAAGUUUGAAGUAUGAGUCAGAGUCCGACAGGGGCCGAGAAUUAGCUUGGCUUCUUAGAAAGGUUAAGGCUUUGAGUGUAAGGGCAAAGCCGUAUAUGUAGUCUAUUUUAUGUAAAGAAGCUCUUUAUCUAGUAAAGUUUUCUAAUGAAGUUGAAUUAGAAUCAGUGCCUCUUUUUCUUUGCAUUCUUUUCAUGCAUUGCAUCACAUCAUAUGCAUUAAUAACCAAAAAAACCUAAUCGAAUAAAAUCAUUUCAGUUAACCUGGAAAACCAACAAAGUUNNNNNNNNNNNNNNNNNNNNNNNNNNNNNNNNNNNNNNNNNNNNNNNNNNNNNNNNNNNNNNNNNNNNNNNNNNNNNNNNNNNNNNNNNNNNNNNNNNNNNNNNNNNNNNNNNNNNNNNNNNNNNNNNNNNNNNNNNNNNNNNNNNNNNNNNNNNNNNNNNNNNNNNNNNNNNNNNNNNNNNNNNNNNNNNNNNNNNNNNNNNNNNNNNNNNNNNNNNNNNNNNNNNNNNNNNNNNNNNNNNNNNNNNNNNNNNNNNNNNNNNNNNNNNNNNNNNNNNNNNNNNNNNNNNNNNNNNNNNNNNNNNNNNNNNNNNNNNNNNNNNNNNNNNNNNNNNNNNNNNNNNNNNNNNNNNNNNNNNNNNNNNNNNNNNNNNNNNNNNNNNNNNNNNNNNNNNNNNNNNNNNNNNNNNNNNNNNNNNNNNNNNNNNNNNNNNNNNNNNNNNNNNNNNNNNNNNNNNNNNNNNNNNNNNNNNNNNNNNNNNNNNNNNNNNNNNNNNNNNAGUUGAAUAACUAAAAUGUAAUUUUAAUCAAAGUUUAGGAAUAAUCGGUAGAGUUUAGGAAUAAUCAAAUUCUUCUUAAUAUUAUUUUAGUUCUAAUUAGUUAUGAUUAAUUAAAUAAAACUAAUGUAAAAAAAUUAAAUAAAACUAAAAAAGAUUAUUAUGAUAAUAUAUUUUUAUACUUUUAAAUCUUUUUAAAUAAAAAAAUUAUAAAUUAAAUAAUUAAAUACAUGUUGAAUAAUAUUAUAAUACAAGUUUAUUAUCAGAUGACUUAUAUCUAUUAUUAAAUAAUUUAAAAAAAAUUAACAUAUAAUGUUUUUUAUUGGUGGGCAAUUUAGGGAAAUUUGAGUAGAAAUAGUAAUAUUUUUAUUAAGGAUUGUAUAAAUGUCUUUUGGAGUUUCAACCUUAUUUUGUUUUCAGCUUGUUCAAUAAUUGAGAAGGUUGGCCACUUGUUCAAUAAUUGAGGCGGCUGGUCGUGUGGGUCUCAUGAAAUGGCACGUGACAUCAUAAUUGAUUUCCUAUUGUUUCGGUUCUACAGAAUAGUUUAUAUUUUGUUUUGCUCAAACUGUAAUAUGUGUUUCAACUCAAUUUUGGUUAAUAUCAAUUUGUAUUGGUGUAUUUAAAUUAAAUUACAGAGUAAAAAAAUAAAAUAUAAAAUAUAUUUUCAGACAUUUAGUAUAUUCCAAGUUUAACAUUUCUACUUUUAUUUUUAAAAAUUUAAUUUAUCUACUUUCGAAAUUAAAAUUCUUCUAUAAAAUUAUACAAAGACAUUUAAAAAUUAAAAAAAUUCCCUUCAUAACCAAGUAAUAAUAAAAAUAAUAUUAUAAUUACCAAUUGGGAUUUUUUUAAAAACUGUACAUUUGAAUUCGUUAUGAUAAAUAGUAUUUUUAACAAAAAUUGACAUCAAAAUUUGGAUAACAAUUUAACUUAGAGUAAAAAAAACUAAAUUAUGUUAAAAACUAAACUAUAUAUAUAACAACCCACAUUUAAUCCCAUCAUUAAAUCUAAAUAUCUUCAAAUAAUUAUAUUAUUUUAUUUUUGAAAAAAUAUUUGCGUAAUUUUUUUAAUCGACCUAGUAACCGGUUGACUCGUAACAUCAACUUAGACAAAAUUUUAAAUAACAGCUUAGAUUUAUCAAUAAUUUAUUAUAUUAUUCAUUGUACAGACCCAUUUUGCCCGGGCCCAAAAAAAUACAAACUCAAACUAUUAACAGGCCCAAAUAAAAAAAAAAUCUAGCCCAAACUCAAAAACAAGAAGAAACAAAGAAACCCUAGCCCCUAACCCUAGCUUCAGCCGCCGCAGCCACCGACCCCAACUGCCACCACCUACUCCGCCGCUCCUCUGUCCACUUGCGCCUGCAACGAAAUGACAGGCAAAAGAUAAGAUAAAAAAAAUCAUGUAAAAACGGCUAUAAAGUCGAGAAUCGAACGCUUGUAAGGGGCUCCCCCAUUUUUUUUUUCACAAAACAUUGAAGAAAUAAAAGAAAACAGUUUAAAAAGGUGACUUUUUUUUACAUUUUUCGAUUUUGUUUUUUUCCGGUUUGUUUCUUUUUUUAUUUUCUUUCACAUACGAAAUAAAUAAAAAUAACAAAAAGAAAAGAAAAAACCUACCUGUUUCGUUCUUCGUCGUCGGGAUUCGGAGGGUCCCUCCUCCUUUCGGUCAUUUUUGGCCACUUUUUCUAAAAAAACAACCCCAGAUUCGGAAUCAGGGGGUUGAGAGGGUUAAAGGGGCCUUUUUUAAAUUUUCCCCUUUUUAAUUUUUCCGGCCACCGCGGACGGCGGCGCCGUCGCCAGUGACUGGCGGCCGACACGGCGGCCGAUGGCCGGAGCUCUUGCCGGAGGCUAACCGGUUUCUGGGGAAGAAAGGGGGGAUUUGAGAGUGUUUGGAAGGUUUUUUUUUUUUUUUGGAAGGAUGGAAUAAAUGAUUUUUUUGUUAAUUUUUUUGGAAUUUAUAGGGGCAUGAAACGGCGCCGUUUUGGCCUAGCCCCAGAACUCCCAAAACGACGUCGUUUUGAAGACAUCCGACCCGAAACUGACCCGACCCGAUGAAGGUCAGCGUGUUGUCAUACCUGAGGGUCUAUUUUCCUUUUAGCCCUUACGUAUUUCUAUUUUUUAUAAUUUGGUCCCUUUUGUUAAUUUUUUUUAUUUUUAAUUUUGCCCUAGAAUUUUAUUCUGUUUUCAUUUGAGUCCCGGUUAAAGCGCUGCGUUUUGGAGAGAGGAGAUAUUUUCCCAUUUAGUCCCUCUUUGUUAUUUGCGCACUCUAUUCGGUCCUUUUCUUUUAAUUUCUUCUCGAAUUUGCCCCAAAUUUCUAUGUUAAGUUCAAGUUAGUCCUUUUGUUGUUAUUUUUAUUAAAUUAAUUAAUUUCUAAUCAUUAUUAUCACUUCUCUUACUAUUAUUUUUAUCAUUACUCAUAUUAUUGUUCUAUUUUUACUGCUGCUACUACUAGUAUUAUUAUUAUUAUUAUUAUUAUUAUUAUUAUUAUUAUUAUUAUCUUAACCUUUUAUAAUAUAUUUAUUAUUAUUGUCACAUUGUUUAAUUAAUUAUUCUUUUACAUAAUUUCCAUUACAUUUUUUUUAUUUUCAUAUUAAAUACGUUUGUCUUAUUUAUAUAUUAGUUCUUUAAAUGCAUUUUUAUAUAUUUGUUUUGUAUCUUUUUACAUAAUUUCUGUCAUCUUUUUUUUAUUGCAUAGCCUUAAAUUGUUUAUUGUUAUUAUUAUUAUUUAUUGUCAUAUUUAAUAUUUUCGUUUCUAAAUUGCUUUAUGUUUUUAUUCAUUUAUUUAAUAUCAGCUCUUUAGUUAAAUUUGCCCUAUUUAAUACUUGUCCUUUUAUCUUUGACUUGUUUAUUUUAUGUCAUUUUUGUUCCUUAUAUUAUUUUUCAUAUUAAUGCAUUCGUAUUUAUUCUAUUAUGCAUAUCAACAAUGUAAUUUGCUUUCACAUUUUUUUUAUUACAACAUCAUGUUUCACUUUACUCGAUAUAUCAAAAUUUCUUUAAAUAAAUGGCAUUUCGUAUGUUUAGAUUCGAGAAGGUCAUAUCCUAACUUUCUGGGUUUCGAUUUCCUCGACGAAUCUAAAUAGACAAGUCUUUUUCAAACUUAAACUUUAAACGAUCUCGAAAAUUAAGAAAAGAUCAAGUCCUAAUUUACUGGGCCUGAUCCCCUUUUUUUUAAAAAAAAUCCGAGAUAAUUAAAUAUCUUUUUAAAUAAGUAAAUUUUUGGCAUUUAUUCUCGUAUCGGGAAUUCGAUACGUUGUGUCCUAACGCAUUGGAUAUGACACGUCGUUUUCUCGAUAUGAGGAUUUUUCUAAAAAAUAAUAAAGGCAAUAUUCAAUGUUUAUAAUUUUGAGAAAUUGUGCCCUAACGUAUUGGGUUGCGAUUUCAUCAUCUGACUUAAGCAAUUGAAUAUCCUUUUAAACUUUAUUGCACGAGUUUUUUGGACGAGCUCAUUUAUGAGAAGGUGAAAUAUCAUGCCCUAACCAAGUUUUUAAUACAAGGAUCGUAUUUUUUAACUCUUCAAAAUUUUUAAUCUUUGACAUUAAGACAUUAAAUAAUCGACUAGGUACCAAUUUUGGGCUUUACGAGAGUGCUAAUUCUUCCUCGUACGUAACCAACUCCCGAACCUAUUUUUCUGAAUUUUGUGGACCAAAAUCGUUGUUUUAAUAAAAUUGAAUCGUUUAUUAAAAAACAACCACUUUUACGAGGUGACCCGAUCACACCUCAUCAAAAAAAAAGAUUGGUGGCGACUCCCUUUUUUCAUUUUCAUUUUCAAAUCCAAGUCGACCCCAUUUCAUGAAAAAAAUUAUGUCAACAUUCAUCAUAUAUUACUAUUUUAUAAUUAUUUAUAAAAUUUACUAUAUAUUAUGAAUAUAUCAUAAAGAUAAAAUUAUUUAUCAUUCAGAGAUUUUGUAACACCUAAAAAUUUUGGUGACAUAAAUGAUAUUAUUAAGAGAAUAUAAAUAGUAAAAUUUUCUUAUUUUCAUAUUUUUUUAGCAGAAAAAACAAUGAUUUUAAGAAUUCUUCAAAGAAAAAAAAAAGGUUAAAAAGAAGCAAAAGGGUUUUGGAAGGCAAACGAUAAAGUGUAAAGAAGCUUUAAAUGUUUAAGGUUAUGGAAAUAUUUCAUUAAUGGAAGCAUCACUCACAACAAUAUUUUGAAGAUUUAAAAGUGAUCGAAAGAAAUAAGGUGGAAGAACAGUCAGCGGAGGAGAAUUUAAGAGCUCCAAAACUUUCGGCUUAAAAUACCCUUCUGGAAGUUGUCCAUGUAUAUCUCUUUCAUGUUGCCAUUGCUUUCCAAUCUCAAUUCUUCUAAAUAAGGGAAUGUAUCCAGGUCAGUUGACAAAUGUGUUAAACAAAAGCGAGGAUGAAUUUCGAUUAAGGAAAUGGAAUUGUGGUAUGCCCAUAUUUCAGUUAAAUUUGAGAGAUAAUCUCUCAAUUAAAUUUUGUUUAUUUGUUUUAGUUAAACUCUGAUUAGUUUAGAGUUUUAUUAUUGUUUGAUCUAUUAAUUUAGUCUAUAAAUAGACUCUUUUACAAUAUUAGUAAAUACACCCAUUAAAGAUUGGUUAUUAUACUCAAUGACCCCAAAAAAAUAAAUAAUUACAAAAAUAACCUAGAUUGAAAAAUAAUAACCUAAAUGAUCUGAAAUAAACAGUACCCAAGAGUAAUGGACACUAGAUGGCCGACACUCAUAUAAAUCCUGACACAAUUAUUGCCUCGUGAUUGUGUCAGGGAGUAAAAAAUUAAUUUUUUGGGUUUUGGACAUGAGAUGACUGGCACCCGUGUAUUUUUUUUCCCAAUUGUAUCAUAUUGGUAUAACAUGUAUACCAAAAUUUUUUAAAAAAUUAGGGUGGCAUUACAUUGAUGGCUGGCACCCCUUUAACUGAUUAGAAAUUUUUUUUGAGGGGUGUUGGGACACUGAUGGCCAGCACCCUUUUUCCAAAUUAAAAAAAAUUUUGGGUGUUGGAACACUGAUAGUCGACACCCUGUAAUUUAUAUAUAUAUGGAUGCUCUUUGGGUUGUGGUAUUGUAAUUAGAGAAAAAAUUAUUGAGAGUAUGAGAAAAGGCUAUUAUAGUUACUCACCGUCUGAUAAGCAAACAAUGUCACUAUAAGGUUAGAAACCUUUCAAGUUGUUAACCAUCCAAAGUUGUUUGCCUAUCAGAUGAGGAGUAACUGUAAAUCAUAGAUGUGAUGUAAUGGACUCUUUGAUUAUUUGGGGAGGGUACCAUCAAUUCAAGAUACCGAACAUUGGGGUUAAAUUAUAUAUUGUCAUGCGUUAACGGAGUUGGAUUAUAUAUUAUCACGUGAAUCAUAAAGGUUAUGUCAUCAAAGGGUGGAGAUACUAGCAUUCAAAUUGAUUGUAUUAUUUUUGUAUCUGUAAAUCAAUUUUGGUCUGUAUUAUUUGUUGUUAGAUUUUUUCGUAUAUCAAUUGGACUUCAUAUAUCAGUUGUCUGCAAUAUUCGUAUUUUUUUAUCAGUAAAUCAAUUUUAACCCAUGUUAAUUGUUGGUCGAAUUUUAUAUGUUCUUAUAUCAAUCUAAAAUGUUCGUAUUGCAAAAAAUUUAUGUGGACCCAAGAGUUUUGCAUACAAAGAGUUAUGUUAGAAAUUCAUAUUAUGUUUUGCAAAAAUAGUUACAAACUAAAUAAUUACAAAAAACUCAAAAUUGUGUGGACCCAAGCGUUGUCCUCGGCCCGGCAUGUAACGGUCAGGCAACCUCCAUUGGCAAGAGGGUGCACCUUCAUGUGGCGAUUGAUAAUCAUUCAGGCCGACCUCUGGUGUUCCUGUCGGUGUACUGAAGAAAGUGUAAAAUUGUAUGCCUCAUCAUCAGGGGUGACGGGGCAUUAUGACACCGGAGGUGUUGAGCCAAAAAUAUCUUCAAUGGCAAGUGCUUGCCAUUGGAGCUCCAUGUGGUAUAAGAAUGUUUCAGAGUGUGCCAAAUGUUGAGGCUGGGGGUUUAGGUCGUUGCCAAAUAUCUCCUCGAAUGAAUAAGGUUGUUUGGGAUGGGGUGUAUGUAAUGACGUUCCGGAUGCUGAAUAUUGGGGACCGAGAUCGGUGUUUGAGUCUGAUUUAGUGUUCCCAGACGGUGGGACUCUAUUACAAAGUGGUUGAGUCUUCAUCCGUUGUCGCUUAGACCUACUUGGUUGCGAGUGUUGAAGGGGGGUGCUUCUUAUAGCAGGCGUUCCACAAAAUGAUGUAUGGGGCAUGCUCGGUCACCCAAUUUUUUAUGUCCUUACCCUUUUUGUCUAACCCGUAAGCAUGUUCGCAGUCUUGUGGAAGGUUUGGGAUAUAUUGAUGCAACCGAGCUAUCUUGAUACCCGAUUCGCUAUGUGCCACACGACCAUGUUGAAAUUAAUCAAUGAGACAUUUGUCAUAAAUAGUAUUCGCUACUCGUGAACCCAUGAUAGUAUGAGGGCCGCAAUUUCUCCCUUGGAAUACAUCCAUAGAAACUGCACAAUAUAGAAAGAUAAUAUUAUAAAUUGGACUAAUUUUUUUUGCAAAUGUUGAAAUUAAAAAAUAUUUAUAGCACUCAAAUAUUGUAAUUUUAAAAAAAUUCGAAAGUGUAUUUCAUGUUUUCCCUAAAAUGAGCCUCUAUCAUUUGGCGGUAUACGGGCACCGUGUAUGAUCUUUCGAUUCCCAAUUUCGUUGCCCAUUUGUAAAACAUAUUCAAAAUUUUAAGUAUAUUUGGCAUGCAAAAAGUACAAUACUAUUAAAGAAAAAGGUAAUAUCCAAUUUUUAAGCAUAUUUCAGAUCUUCUAGUAAGGGGAGGUACAUGAUGUGGAUUUUAUUCUGAUUGGUGUCCAACAUUAGUACCCCACCUAUCAAUUGUAGAAGAUAAACUCUAGAAGCAUAAAUAAUGUUCGUUUGCAUUGGACGGCUCGGUAGGUUUUCGAAAUUAUUCCUUAACCAAGUAAAUUUAAUACCGAUUAAUCUUUCUUCCUUAUUAUCGGGGGGCACUCUUCCAAGUAAUCAUUCGUAAUUUAACCAAUGGUCGAUCACUUUACCUAGCCCUGUCAUUUUUUAUCUUUCAAUAUAUAGACCCACUUAGACCGAUACAUCUUGUAGUGUUAUAAUGUAUUCCUCACAUGGGAGGUGGAAUGUGUGAAUCUUCGGGCACCCUCAUUCCACUAGCGUUGAUAUUAAAUCGGCUUUUAGGUCCAAAAUCUGAAUGAAUGCGGCUGUGCCAAACUUGACAACAUUCAAAUAUGGCACAACCCUUUGGUCGGAAAAAUAUCUCGGAUCAUGGAGUCGAGGCCUCACAACCCGGUACUCUUCCUACAAAAAUAGUAAACAUUAUAUUAUUUUAUUUCUCAAAAAAAUUAUAUGAAUUUUAUUUAAAGCUUAAUUGGAUCACAUUUACCGUAUUAUGUACAAACUUUGUUAUGGUUUCCAUUAUCGAGGAGAGGUCGAGGAUUCAUUCUGAUAUCUGUACAAAAGUCGAAUAAUUUUUUUACGCUCGACGUAAAAUAUCAAUAUUUUAUUAAAAUGGAACCAUUUAUAUUUUAAAAAAUAUGAAACAACUUACAUCUUUUAUCUAGGAGAGAUAAAAAUUAAUAAAAAUUUCUCUAAUGGGUGGAGCUUGGUGAUGGUGGUUUAUUUUGUAGGUUGGGUGGUGAACUAUUUGGGGCUUUUAUAGUGGAGGACCAUUGAAGCUGAUAAGAGAAAGAAGGAUAAGAAGGAAAAAAAAAGAGGCCUUAUAGGAAACUCGUUUUCUUAGAUAUGCAAUGUGUGUUGAAGCGUGUAGACUUCGUCUAUGAAUUAUUCAAUACUUAAAUUAGCUGUCGCACACGUUGCAUGAACAUGUGCACACGGGUAUUGAAGGCUUUGGAACUUCCCAUACUUGUAGUUCUUGUUCUGCAAAUCAACUACGUAGGACCUGAGCGAAAGUCUCGCGCGACGACCGAUGUACUCUUGAACUUGAAAAGACUCCAUGUACCAAGAAUACAAUUUUGCAUUCAUCGUCUAUGCCUUACAUGUGUUGUUUGCCAUGGCCUUUCGGGCGACUUCAACGUACACGUGCCCGACCUUCAUUUGUUUUACCUGCCUUAAGCCUAUCAUUGGCAUCAAUCUGACAAGCCUAUACAACAUUGCCGAGAAUACAACAGAAAUUGGAAAAUGGGGUAUACGCCUCAAAACGGAGUUAACCGCCUUUACAAGGUUGGUUAUUAUAUAAGCAUAACGAAACCUGUCAUCAAAACUUCAUUCCACCCAACCACUGCUGGAGAUUAAUUGGUAAGGACGACAUUUGACCUCAAGCCUCGUAAGUUUAUGCCUGAAUCAUCACGGUUCUAGCUCGUACUCCGUGUAGCCAAUUUAAAAAAUAUAUUAAAAAACAAAUACGAACAGAUAAAUUUUGCCAAAAAAUAAAAAAAGAUCUGAAUAAUUUUGAAAAAAUAUUUUAAGAAAUGGGAAUUUUUGAAAAUUUAUUUUAAUAAAAUACAAACUGAAAUAUUUCAAAAAAUAAUUUAAAUAAUUACUGAAUGAAAAUUUUAAUAAUUAGAUUAAAAAUAAAAUAUAAACAUAUUUUAGAACAAUAUUUUUUUACUCAUGUUCACAAUUAUUUUACGCCAGUCCUUAUUUUUAUAAUCUUUAUGGAAGUUUGUCGCAAUAUGUUGGAUGUAAUAAACAGACAUUCAUGGAACCCCCUGAACAUCUUAUCGCAGCCAAUGAUCCCUUUAAUCUAUCAGAGAUAAUGCAAAUGUUGUCUUGCUUGACAACAUGCCUCCCUAGAUUUGUUAGGAAAAAUUCCUAAGACCGGAAACUCUCACCCUCCACGAUUGCGAAAGCGAUAGGAAGUACAUUCUGGUUACUGUCUUGUGCAACCGCAAUUAGAAGUAUUUUUAUAUAUUUACCUUACAGCCAGAUACCAUCCACCUGCACCAACGAUUUGUAGUAGGGGAAUGCCUUCACACAUGGCUCAAACGUCCAAAACAAUUGGUGGGAAAUUUCUCUCCAAAGUUGUAUUUCACCGUCUGAGCCUUUAUGCAGCAAAGUUUGCAAAUCAGUUACCUUACCUAGCACAUACUUCUACAUCAUGGCUAUCCACCCUUGAAGUUCGUUGUAUGACACAUCCCAGUCACCAUGCAACUGCUCCAUCACCAUUUAUUUCACCCAUCAUGUCUUCCUUUAAGAAACUCGAUACUUGAAUCGAGCUUGCAUGUUUACAAUAAUGACCAGUACAAGGAUGAUGGGCAUGUCUUUCACCAAUGGCAUGAUGCUGUUGCAUAUGGUUUUUGCAUCCAAUUUUUGGUGGUCUUACAUUAUACUUGCAACCGUGCAUAUGUGAGGCCCUUCUAUUUUCUUGAUUGUCCACCUUUGAGUCUGCACCAAUAAAGCAACCUGAACACGCUAAUUACAACCACUUCCAUCUUUCCAACAUUAUCUAACAUAUAAAAACUAUGUAAACUUCAUGACUUUGUAGUCGACAGAUAACUUCAAGUUGUAUUGAUUUGUUGCAUGUACAAAGUAUUUUUUGUUAUUGAAUUAUGGUCCGACGAACAACUCUUCAGCUUCUGAUUCUCCCCACAGUAGGUGAGUAGUUGCUAUGUCUAGAUAUUCGGGGAACUCGUAUACAUGCACCGUAUCAAGAUCUACGUCUGACGUGAAAGCCCUUAGAUUAUUACAGAUAACUAUAUCGGAUACCUUGUUCCUGGCCGAAUUGGGGUUCAUAUCAACACCCUCCACCAUGCCUUCAUUGUCUAUAUCUUCGGGGAUCUCAUCCAAAUCAGGGCCACUAAAAUCUUCAUUAUCAUGGUGGGACUGAUCUUCAUUACAAAACUUUCAUCACCAUCUAGUAUAGUGCCUAACACCUCUGGAUAAAUAUCUAGACGAGGACUCGGGAUUGAGAUGUUAUACAAACAUCCAUCGUAAUUUAGAUUUUUGGGAGUUUGCAUUAACCUUUCAUAGCCCGACUGGUCUUCCCAGUAAACAUUAAGAUCAAAAUCAAAUACAAAACACUGACUUGCUGAAAUUACAACUUGAACGGGUUUUGGAUCGACUAACUUUGCGAACAACUCAAUUGAACUUAGAUUCUCGAGCUCAGGGGGUAAUAAAUUGUGAUAUUUGUGCCUAUAUCAUCAUCUUCAAGCUCCAUCCUCGCAAACCUGAAAGGUUCCAUUGAAAUUAGAAUUUUGUAAAGCAAUGUUAUCAUUUGCUUCCCACAAUGGACAAUUGUCUUCAUACUAAUCUUCUCUUUCAAUUCCACCAGCAAAACACGUUUGUUAAAUCUUAUUCCAAUUUUUUACCGACUUUGAAAUACACAAGCUUCUUCAACUGUAUUUAUAAUUUCUCCAUCGCAAUUAACAUAGACUAACAAAUUUUGAGAACUCAUCUUAAAAAAUAUAUGCUUCCUGCUCAACAAAAUACUGAUAUAUCACUAUUUUUGUUGUUAAACUAGUAAAUAGAAAAAAUCAAAUAGAAGACACCACAAAUAAAUGGGUUAGGGGGUGUCGGCCAUUGGAUACAUGACACCCCAAUUUUUUAAUUGAUAAAGGGGGUGUUAACCAUUAGUGUUCCAGUACCCCAAAUUUUUUUAAUCUGGAAAAAGGGUGUUGGUCAUUAAUGUCCCAACACCCAAAAUUUUUUUAAUCUUAAAAAAGGGUGCCAACCAUCAGUGUUCCAACACCCCAAAACUUUUUUUAGUCUAUAAAAAUGGUGUUGGCCAUUAGUGUUCUAAUACCUCAAUUUUUUUUAAUUUGGAAAAAGGGUGCCAGCCAUCAAUGUUCUAGCACCCCAAAAUUUCUUAAAAUUCGAAAAAAAGGUGUUGGCCAUUAGUGUCUCAACACCUAAAUUUAUUUUUUAUUUUAGAAAAAGGGAUGCCAACCAUUAGUGUCAUGACAACCUAAAUUUUUUGUAAUCAGUUAAAAAGGUGUCGACCAUCAAUGUCAUGUCACCCCAAAUUUUAUUUUAGAUACUGGUAUACAUGUUAUACCAGUGUGAUACAAUUUGAGAAAAAAUACAUGGAUGCCGACCAUCUCUUGUCCAAAACCUAAAAAAUUAUUUUUUUUACUAUCUGACGCAAUCAUGAGGAAAUGAUUAUGUCAGAAUUUUUGUGGGUGUCGGCCAUCUAGUAUUCAUUACUCCCGAGUACUAUUCAUCUUAGGUCAUUUAGGUAAUUUUUUGAACUUAUGUCAUUUUUGUAAUUAUUUUUUUCGGUCAAUUAGGUAAAAUAACCUUAAAGAUUAGACUCAAAACACAUUGAGAGAAUUUUGUGUUUAUGUUUUGAGAAUUCUUUAUUUUUGGGUUUCUAGGUUUAGUUUUUAUCUCCACAUUUUGUACUCUUUGUUCUAUUACUAUUAUAGUAAACUUAUCUUUACCCGUAAUUUUUUAUCCUCUUCGAAGGGGGUUUUUCACGUUAAAUUUGUGUGUUUAAUUUCUCAAUUCCACUAUUUUUUAUUUGUUCGUUGCUUAAUCAAGUCAAUCCCCAAGUGGUAUCAGAGCUAAUUUAAUUUUUACAGAUCAAUUCAUUCUAUGGUGUCACACAUUUCAAUUUGUAGCAAGUUUAGAUGAUGGCAAUCUAGUUCAGACUAGCCUAAAAAACGUCGUUUCCAGAAAAAAGCUUGAGAAUCUAGAUAGACAAAAUGGGAUAAGUUUGAUGAAAAAGCCCUGUCUGCAAUUCAAUUGUGCCUCACGAAUAGGGUAUUACAAGAGGUAUUGAUAGAGAAAACCUCAUCCACCUUGUGAAAAAGGUUAAAAACUCUUUAUGCGACUAAGUCUCUAAUUAACAGUUUAGUGUGUAAACAACAUCUAUUUAUGUUUCGCAUGAACAAAUGUGAGAUUUUAAGAGAUUAUAUGAUUAUGAUUCAUUUCUCUUUUGAAUGAUUUAAUGGACGUUGAGGUUCAAAUUGACAAUAAAGAUUAGGCUAUGCUAUUACCAUGCUCUUUACCCCAUUCAUACAAUUCUUUUAAGGAGACCCUGAUUUAUGGUAAAGACAAUCUCUCAUUUAAGGAUAUGAAGGGUCCUUUGUUAAGUAAAAACAAACUCAACAAUGAGUUUGGUUCGAAUAGCAAGACAAAUAGACAUGCUUCCAUUUUAGUAGCAUUAAAGAAGCAAGACAAAAGGUGUCGUUAUUGUAAGAAGUUAGAUCAUUGCAAAAUAGAUUGUUAUAAACUGCAAAAUAAAAUGACUGCUAAGAGCAACGGGGAAGGUGUAGCUGGUGCUAAUUUGGUCAACAAAAAAGGUAAUGAUUUCUUGUUAGUGUCAACGAGCAAAAGUUUGGAGCUUAUAUCUAAGUGGAUCCUAGAUUCGUGAUGUUCUUUCCACAUGUGUCCCAUUAGAGAAUGGUUCUCUACAUACAGUUCGCUUAAAGGUGGAGUUGUGUGAAUGAAAAAUAGUUCAUCCAGUAAAGUAAUCUGUAUUGGUGCUAUUCAAAUCAAGAUGUAUGAUGGGAUGGUCAAGACACUGCCAGAUGUCAGGUAUGUACCUGAUUUAUGAAAAAAUUUCAUCCCCUUAAGUAUUUUAGACUCGAAAGGUUGUAAAAUCAACAUCAAGUCAAGCGACAUUAAGGUAUCUCGUGGGGUUUUUGUUUUUAUGAAAGGUAAAAGGAUCGACAAUCUUUAUAUUCUGGAAGGUUCUACAGUGACUGGUGAAAUCAGACGUCCAUCAUCCAUUUCGAAGUCGAAGUCGACUUGUUUGGAGCAGAAACAACUUGGUUAUAAGAGGGAAAAAAUAUAACUAUUUUGUUGAAGAAUGAUUCUCUUUUGGAUGUAGGUUUCAAAAAAUUAGGGCAUUGUGUUCGUGAAAAUUAGAUCAGAGUUAGUUUUGAUUUAGGAGUGCACAAGUCAAAUGCUAGAAGUCUUCUAGCUUCUAAGUAAAAAUUUAACUUGGUUAAUUCAUUGCAUAGUUCAAGAUAUGCCUAUGAUGGGCUUUGACAAAGAUUGUGUUACGAAAAUACGAGUCAAGGUGGAGAUUUGUUGAGUAUGCCUCGUAUUUCAGUCAAAUUUGAAAGAUAAUCUCCCAGUUAAACUCUGUUUAUUUGUUUUGGUCGAAUUAUGAUUAGUCUAAAUUAUUUUUUUAUUUGACCUACGAAUUUAGUCUAUAAGUAGGCUCUUUUACAACCUUAGAAAUACACCCAUUAAAUAUUAGCACUCAUAACACUUUUGGAGAAUUUUGUGUUUAUUUUUUGAAGGUUCUUUAUUUUUUCUAGGUUUAGUUUUUUAUCUUCAUCUUUUGUACUCUUCGUUCUGUUGCCAUUAUAGUAAAAUUAUCUUUGCUCGUGUAAAGAACAAUUAAACCUGCAAUGGAAGGGCAUCUCUCAUAACUCUUUAUAAAGCAACUCUGCUAAAAUGAUAAGCGAAAUAAUCAAUUUCUGCUAUUAAACUACAUUUUAUGCUUAAGCUCAUUACUAAAAGUAGGAUAUUUUUCCUUCAAUUUUGGCCUUUCUGUAGUAUGUAUCCUUGAGCUGAAACUUUUCCCUAUAAAGUAGAAGGAUGUAAUAAGUUUAGGAAAAUACAGAUUUAAGGCUCUUUCCAUAGCAACGAAUUGAGUGAUUGUCAUUGCAUGUAAAUUGUUGGCAUGUUUAUUAUUUGCAUCAGUUGUAAUUUCAUCAUUCAUCCCCUUAUAUAAAAAUGGAAAAAAGGUAUUCCAAAGUUUUAUUUUUCCCCCUUCAAUCAAACACACAUGUAAGAUAUAGACUUACGUAGUUUGUUGACUGAUUGUGCCAUAUCUUUCUCCAGUUUCCCACACCCAUGAUGCUUUGUUUCUCUAAGUAAUGUUAGUUUGCUAGAGAAAAACAAGUAGCGCAACAAGAAUAGGGAAUCAAAUAUUUAAGAAAAAUGAAUAAGAACAAAAAAAAAACAUGAAAGAAAGUAAUGAUACAAGAAAACAAAAAUGGGAUAUCCCCUUUUAAUGAAAAGAGUUGGAAAGAGAAUCUUUGUGUUGUUGCUUUCUAUCCCAAGAGAAUAAUGUCAAUGCCAGUAGUGCUACUUUUUAGACUAAAAUACCCAUGUAUUGUAGAAAAUAACUAAAUUAGUUAUUUAGAUAUUUGUGCACAGUUAGUUAGAGUAGUGAGCUGUAUAGUGUAAUUAGCAAUGUAAUUAGUUACACCUUAGCUGUAUAUAUUCUAUAGCUCUAUUCAAUUGAAAACACGAUUCAUUGAAUAAAGAAAAUAAAAAUAUUCUUUACAUUUCUUUUUCAUCAUCUUAACAUGGUAUCAGAGUUCUAAAUCUGAAUCGGGUGGAUUUGGUUCCACCAUCACCAUUGAUUUCAGCAUUCCUCUCUAUCUUCAUCCUUUCGAUACUCCUUGGAUCGUUCUCGUCUCCCAUCAACUCACCGGCACAGAUAACUAUUGUGUUUGGAGCCGUUCUAUGAGUAUUGCUCUUCUUGCGAAGAACAAACUCAGAUUUAUCGAUGGAUCUUGCAAACGCGAUUCUCUUUCUCCAGAUCUAAAAUCACAAUGGGAUCGUUGCAACGCUCUUGUUCUCUCUUGGAUCAUCAAUACUGUUUCCAAGGAACUCUCUGCUGGAAUCGUUUUUGCCUCUAGUACAGCUUUAGAUUGGAAGGACUUACAGGAAGGUAUGAUAAGGUUGAUGGCUCUCGUGUUUAUUAUCUUCAUCGGUCUAUUUCCACUCACACAUAAGGUACUUCAUCUGUUGCUACGUAUUUCACAAAACUUCGCCUUCUCUUGGAUGAGUAUGAUAUUCUUAUGCCUUCAUCUACUUGUGAUUGUGACCUUGCAAAAAAGACUGCUCAACAUUCUCAGCAAUGUCUUUUUCAAUUUCUUAUGGGUUUGAAUGAAACUUAUGCAAAUGUUCGAAGCCAGAUCUUAUUGAUGCAACCUUUUCCCUUUGUCAACAAUGCUUAUUCUAUGGUGAUUCGUGAUGAAGAUCAACGCGAGCUAGCCUCUCCUACCUUUUCUGAUUCCACUGCUCUGCUUUCCUCCAAACCUGCUUUUUUCUCCUCCAAGAAGCGUUAUAAUGGCAUCUGUGAGCAUUGCAAACUUUCGGGUCACAGGAUUGAGAAUUGUUAUAGGCUUACUGAUUUUCCCCCUGAUUUCAAAUUCACUAAAAAGAAAUCACCAGCGGCCAAUCAUGUUGUUACUACUACUGACAGUGAUGAUACUGAUGAUAUAGCUACUCAUUCAGCUCCUCUGGCUCCUACUUUUACUCCUGAGUAGUAUCAACAGAUUCUUUCUCUUCUCAGCAAGGAUUCUGCUUCAUCCUUUCAACCUGUGGCUCAUAUGGCAGGUACCUCCCCUGUUAGUGAUCCAGUUUCCUGGAUUCUUGACACUGGGGAUUCAAAUCAUAUGACAUUUGUUUUCAAUUCUUUGAAUUCACCUGUUGCUUGUUCCGCUAAUACUUAUGUUAAAUUGCCUACUGGAAAAUCUGCCACUAUCACUCACAUUGGUACUCAUUCCCUCACCCCAACUCAUCAUUUGACUGAUGUACUAUAUUUUCCCUCUUUUAACUUUAACCUCAUCUCUAUCUCAAAGCUCACUAAGGAUCUCAAUUGUUUUGUUUCCUUUUAUCCCUCAUUCUGUGUUUUGCAAGACCUUUGCAGUGGAAGGAUGAUGGGGAUUGGUAAAUAGAAGGAUGGCCUCUACAUACUUUUACCUCAUACAAUUUCAAACCCAGUCAAUACCAAUGUAACCACUUCUUUGUUUUCAGAAUCUAGUGUUACUUCUUUGUCAUCGUCUAAGCAUAUUGAUUCCUCUUUGUGCCAUGCUAGACUUGGUCAUACAUCUUUAUCCAAGUUGAAUAAAAUUCCUUCUCUACAUUCUGUUUUUCAUUCUCAACAUGAUAUUACUUAUUGUACUGUUUGUCCUUUAGCUAAGCAAUCUCGCUUACCUUUUCCACUAAGUGAAUCAAGAUCAAAAACUGCAUUCUCCCUUAUUCACAUUGAUCUUUGGGGAGCAUAUCGUUUUUCUACUCAUUUUGGGCAUAGAUAUUUUUUGACUAUUAUUGAUGAUAAGACUAGGAUGACUUGGAUAUUUCUACUAAAACUUAAGAGUGAUGCCUUUCUUGUCUUAAAGGAUUUCAUUAGUCUUGUUAAAACUCAAUUUUCUGGGGUAGUCAAGAUCGUUAGGAGUGAUAAUGGGAGUGAAUUCUUUACCAAGGAAGGUACACCUUUUUUUCAUUCUCUUGGCAUCAUUCAUCAAUCAUCUUGUGUUCACACACCACAAUAGAAUGGUGUGGCAGAACGUAAACAUAGACAUCUUUUAGAUGUAGCAAGGGCACUCAAAUUUCAUUCAAAUAUUCCUAUCAAAUUUUGGGGUGAAUGUGUGUUAUCUGCUUGUUAUUUAAUCAAUAGAUUACCCUCAUCUGUUCUUCAUUGGAAGUCACCAUAUGAAAUGUUAUAUGAUAAACCAUCUUCCUUGUCACAUUUAAAAGUUUUUGGUUGCCUUUGUUUUGCUACUAUCAUCAAUUUUCAUGAUAAAUUCUCUCCAAAGGCAAUACCAUCUAUUUUUAUAGGGUAUUCUUUAGUAAAAAAGGGUUAUCUUUUGUUUAAUCCUAUUUCUCAGAAAUUUUUUGUCAGUCGAGAUGUUGUUUUCCAUGAACAUGUUUUUCCCUUCAAAACUCUUCCUAAGGAUCAGCCAAUGUUUCCUCUAGAUGUAAAUGCUUUUGGACCACUUGAUGAUUCCAAUUUUUUUCCUUUUACCAUUACAUCUUCACCUACACCUUCAAUAUCUCAUCUUACUCCUAUACAACCACCAUCAUUACUAUCCCCACAACCAUCACCACUCAUAUCCUACACUUCUCCUACCACACAAUCAACACCACCACCACCACCACCACCGCAACCUCCCCAACCCUUACGCCAAAGCACCCGAACUCACAAACAACCUGCUUGGAUGGAAGACUACAUUUGUUUCAUAAAAUCCUCAUCAUCAACUUCCUCCACUACAGCACAAGGUCAGUAUGCCAUCUCUAAUUUUAUCUCCUAUUCUUAUUUACCUUCACAUACUCAAUGUUUUUUCCUCAUCCAUCACUCAUACACCUGAACCUCAAACCUAUUUCGAGGCAAUUAAACAUAAUUGUUGGCAAGUAGCAAUGCAACAGGAAAUUGAGGCGUUGGAAGCAAAUGACACAUGGGCUGUUGUCCUUUUGCCACCUGGAAAGAUCCCCAUUGGCUGCAAAUGGGUGUAUAAAGUUAAGUAUCAUUUUGAUGGCUCAAUCGAGCAUUACAAGCCCAGAUUAGUUGCCAAAGGGUACAAUCAAAGGGCUAGGAUUGAUUUCCAGGAUACUUUCUCUCCAGUUGUAAAGCAAGUAACGGUCCGCGUUGUUAUUGUACUAGCUGCAUUAUAUAAUUGGCCUCUUGUACAAUUAGAUGUCUACAAUGCUUUCCUCCAAGGUGACCUUCAUGAAGAAGUCUACAUGGCUUUACCACAGGGAUUUGCUAAUCUAGGGGGCAAUCAAGUAUGUAGAUUACUCAAAUCCCUUUAUGGCUUGAAAAAGGUGUUGAGACAAUGGAACCUAAAACUUAGUGAGGCUCUCAUCAACACUGGAUACAAUCAAAGUAAGCAUGACUACUCAUUGUUUACCAAAACAGUGGGUAACAAAAUUGUGAUCAUGCUUAUAUAUGUUGAUGAUCUCUUGAUCACUGGGAAUGAUAGGGAACUAAUUGAAGAACUUCAAGCCAUUCUACAUCAGAACUUCAAAAUGAAAGAUCUAGGAACACUCAAAUAUUUCCUUGGGAUAGAGGUAGCAAGAUCGACAGAAGGAAUCAUAAUGAAUCAGAGGAAAUAUGCCUUAGAACUCAUAGAAGACAUUGGUUUGAAUAAUGCAAAGCCAGCAAACACUCCUCUUGAGCAGAAUCUAAAGUUAACCAGUGCUGAAUAUGAUGAAGCACUUCAAUUGCAGUAAGAUGAUAUUAAACUGGAAGAUGCAAGUAUAUAUCAAUGGCUUAUAGGUAGACUCUUGUACUUGACAAAUACUAGGCCAGACAUUGCCUUUGUCGUUCAACAUCUCAGUCAAUUUAUGCACAUGCCAAAAAAAUCUCAUUAUGAAGCAGCUAUACGAAUUGUGAGAUACAUUAAGAAGAAUCCUGGACAAGGAAUCUUACUUUCAGCAGCAGGAAGACCAGAGAUAAAUGCCUAUUGUGACUCAGGUUGGACAUCAUGCAGCAUGACAAGGAAAUCUGUCACAGGUUUUUGUAUCAAGCUUGGUGAUUCAUUAAUCUCGUGGAAAUAUAAGAAGCAAAACACGAUAUCGAGAUCUUCUGCAGAAGCAGAAUAUAGGAGCAUGGCAGUUACAGUUGCUGAGCUUAUGUGGAUUAAAGGCUUGCUGUCAGAACUGGGUGUUGAAGUAACCAAACCAAUGAUGCUGCAUUGUGAUAGUCAAGCAGUAAUACAAAUUUCUAGUAAUCCAGUAUAUCAUGAGAGGACGAAGCACAUAGAGAUUGAUUGUCAUUUUAUCAGAGAAAAAAUACAGAGGGGGCACAUUCAAACCAGGCACAUUUCAAUAAGAGAGCAAAUGACAGAUUUAUUGACAAAGGGUUUGAGUAUUCCACAACACAAAUAUCUAGUUAACAAGUUGAGAGUGAAAGACAUUUUUUCACCCAUCAACUUGAGGGGGCAUGUAGAAAAUAACUAAAUUAGUUAUUUAGAUAUUUGUGCACAAUUAGUUAGAGCAGUGAGCUGUAUAAUGUAAUUAGCAAUGUAAUUAGUUACACCUUAGCUGUAUAUAUUCUAUAGCUCUAUUCAAUUGAAAACACGAUUCAUUGAAUAAAGAAAAUAAAAAUAUUCUUUACAUUUCUUUUUCGUCAUCUUAACAUGUACCUUGGUACCCAAGGUACAAAAUCCAAGAAAGAAACAAGGAUUACUCAAAAGCUUAUUACCAAAUCGGAGCAUGCCGAAAAGAAGAAAUUCAAGAAGAAAAUAGAAUGGUUAAAGCUAAAUUAAAGGAAUAUGAAAUAGUACCUUUGUUGAAUGCAAUUUGUUGGACAAUGUUGUUAAGGUCACCACCCCAAUGUCCCUUACCCUUUUCAUCUUCUACUCUUUCCGCAUUUAAAACUCUCUUACAAAAUAUCUCCAACUCAAGGUAACCUUUUAUUAUUAAUUUAUCUGAACAUGGGAAUCCAAAAGCAUGAUUGCCUGAACCAAAAUUCUUGAUGUUGAGAAUGAUUCAAAUGAAUGAAAAAUCUCAAGAAUAAAUGCUAUCGAUUAGAAUGAAUAGUGCAAUCCUCUUACAUUAACUAUUCAUCGACUAUGAUUAAAUGCAUAAGAUAAAAGUUGGAUGAAAUUUGAUUAGGACUAAAUGUUUAUUCAUAAGAUAAAACUUUAAGGAUUUUAAACUUUAUUUUUUAGAAUUUAAAUAAACUGUAAAAAUUGAACCAAUCUUGUUGGUUUUAUUGUGCCAUGAUACUGUUACAGAUGCAUUUAUGGCUAAAUCUUAAUUAUAAUGAUUUAUUAAUAUUCCAACUUAAAAAAAAAAUUUAUUUUAGUCCUUCAUUUUUUAUAGACCUUUAACUUGUGUUAUUUAUUAAAUCACCUCAAAAAUAAUGAAAAAGUCAAGGUUUUAAUCAUUAGAAGCUCAAAGUCCUAACUCUUUAUGACUGGAUUUUUGAGUCUUGCCUUCAUAAUCUUGGCAAAGAAGAGUGUUGUUUUACCUUUUAGUAUCCCUUAACUCACACAACUUUACAUUUUUCAUAUUGCAAUUAGUGUUUUGUUUGAUAAAUUUAUCAAAAAGUGGAGCCUACAUAUUUAAGUUAUAAUUGUUGGUUAAAUUAUUUAUACAUUUCUUAACAAAUUUACGAGUGUUCCUUCUUUUCAUAUUUUUGGAAAAGAAAAAAAAAUGAUUUUAAGAAUUCCUUAAAAAAAAAAAAGAAAAAAGUUAAAAAGAAGCAAAAAUGGUUUUGGAAGGCAAAGGAUAAAGUAUAAAGAACUUUUAAGAAUAAUUUAAUAUAUAGAGUAGGAGUGAGAGGAUUCAUACCUUUUCUUAGUAGAAAAGUGGUGGAUGGACUGGGAAGUCAAGUUGUCCAUUGUUAGUGAUCAGUUGUGUACCUAAUAUCUUCAAUUUCUCACACUCAACUAGUUCCAACUUGUUUAACAUUGGCCACUUUGUGGUAUGCUUGCCCGGGUAGAAACAUUUCAAUUCUGGUAGCCUCCAAAGCCUAAGGCUGUAUAGAUGAUCAAACUCGAAAUUGACGGCUAUUUCCGACUCGGAUCCUUCCUCUAAUUUGGAAACAAUCUCCUCCACUCCACAAUAAAAUAUUCCAAGAUAACGUAAUCGUGGUAGGUCUUUGGCUAUUGAGGCUGGAAAUAUAUCUUCAAAAUUUGACAGCGCCAAACAAAUAUUGUACAGAUUUUCUUAAAAGAAAAAAUUCCUUUGGGAUCAUUUUUCCAAAUAUAUUUCAACUUUGGUAAUCUUAUCAUAUGCAAUUCUCUUAGUUGAGUGGUUGCAAGUAAAGCGGUUUCUUUUUCUUCAUGCAUGAUUUCAAAUACUUGUUGUAAGGAACCACAAGUGUUUACAGUUAGAUGCUGCAACUUAUCACAUCCUUUGACUCUCAAUUCUUGUAGUUUGGGAAAUGCAACCUGCACUCAUGCCAAUAUAAUGAAAUUAGAAGCUAGCUGUUUGUUUCAUUUAUUGUGUGCGUGUUUGUGGAAAAGUAGAAGGAUAGAAAGAGAGAGGAAAUGUGGAAAAUAAAUAAAUAAAUUUUGAGUGUGAUUGGUAAAAAAAUUAAAAAGAAAAAGAAAAGCUCAUUUUUCACAUAAUUCAUAAAAACAAAUUAUUUCAAAUUGAAAUUAUAAGAGAAGAGAAAAUGGAAGAGAUGCUUGUUAGUCUAAAAAUAUGCAUUUUUCAAAAAUUCCAUUUUCAUUCCUCUCAUUUUCAACUAUACCAAGAAAUGAUUAAAAAGAAAUUUACUUUUUCUUUCUUAUCGACCACACUAUAGAAAAGAAAAAUAAAUAUUUUCUAUCUUUCUAUCUUUUUACUCCUUUAAUUUUCUUAUCUUUUUAAUUUUCUUUCCACUAUACCAUUAAAGCCAAAGCCAACAAGGAGAAAAAUUAAGAAUUAACCCACCUUAUUGUCAAACAGAUCACCUUGACUACAGAUUCGUUGGUUCUCCUGCCUUGUAUAUCUCCUUAUGAAGCUGUCCAAGUUUGGACAGUUGUAUAUCCUCAUUGAUUUCAUGAAUGCAAAUUCAAUAACUUUAUUUUGAGAGGUGGAGCAAAAUCCACUGAAAUGCUGAAGAUUCUUUAGCUCUAAGGACUUUAAUUGAGGAAAUAAUGAUAAAGUCAUCGUAGCCUGAGUUUCUUCUUCUAUAUUUUCCAAAAAAAUUAUCUCCUCUAAGCAGUUGCAUUCAGUUAUCUCAAAGUAUUUGAGAUGAACCAGACAUUUAGCCAUAGAAAAUGAUAAUAGGUAUUUUAUGUUUCUACAACCAUCGAUUUUCAAUGUGGUUAACGUCUCAUGAGUGCAAAAAGAUACAUUUGACAACUGGUUGUGCCAUACCUUUAUAACACUAAGUGAUGCCAACCGCAAUUUUUUCAAGGAAGGAAACGAUAUCUGAAACCAUACACAUCAGUAUUUCUACUUUCAAAUAUGUUAGGAUCGUCCCGAUUAAGCAACGAACAAGUAAAAAUAGUAGAAGAAAUUGAGAAGAUGAACACACAAAUUUAACGUGGAAAAACCCCUCAAAAGAGGAUAAAAAACCACGAGCAAAGAUAAUUUUACUAUAAUGGCAAAAGAAUGAAGAGUACAAAAGAUGGAGAUAAAAACUAAACCCCGAAAACCCGAAAAACAAAGAACCCUCAAACGUAAACACAAAAUUCUCUGAAUGUGUUAUGAGUUCUAAUCUAAUGGGUGUCUCUUAAUUCUAAGAUUGUAAAGGAGCCUAUUUAUAGGCUAAAUUAGUAAGUCAAAUAAACUAUACUAAUAAAUGCUAAAUAUAUUAUACUAAUAAAUACUAAAUCUUCUAGAAAGAAAAUAUAUUUUUGUUUAACUUGACUUGCAAGCAAUCUCUUAGAAUUUGGGUCACACAAUUCUAACAAUCUCCACCUUGACACGAAUUCUUUCAAUGCCAUCUUUGCCAAAACCCGCCACGGGCCUAUCUUGAACUAUGCAGGGAAUUAACUGAGUCGAAUCUAUGCUUAGAAGCUGGAAGACUUCUAGCCUUCGACUUGUGCACUGCCAAAUCAAAACUAACCCGAGUCUGAUUUUCACGAAUACAGCGCCCUAACUUUUCAAAACCUGCAUCCAAAAGAGAACCUCUCUUCAACGAAACGGUCAUACCUUUUUCCCUCCUAUGACCAAGUUGCCUCCGCUUCAAAUGAGUUGACUUUGACUCCGUAACGGACGAGGGACGUCCGAUUUCACCGGUCACUGUAGAACCUUCCAGAAUAUAAAGACUGCCGGUUCUUUUACCUUUUAACAAAAUGAGAGCUCCACGAGAUACUUUAAUGUCGCUCGACUCGAUGUUGAUUCUGCAUCCUUUCAAGUCUAAAAUACUCAAGGAGAUGAGAUUCUUUCGUAAAUCAGGUACAUACCUGACAUCUGAGAGUGUCCUAAUCGUCCCAUCGUGUAUCCUAAUUUUAACAGUACCAAUAUUUUACUAGAUGAAUCGUUUCCCAUGUGCACAACUCCACCUUCAACUGAACUGUAUGUGGAGAACCAUUCUCUAUUGGGACACAUGUGGAAAGAACAUCCUGAAUCUAGGAUCCACUCAGACGUAAGCUUGGAGUUAUCGUUCGUUAACACUAACAAGAAAUUAUCACCGCCUUCAUCGACCAAAUUAGCACCAGCUACAUCUUCCUCGUUACUCUCAGCAGCUCUUUUAUUUCGCAGUUUAUAACAAUCUGCUUUGACGUGACCUAACUUUUUGCAAUAGCGACACCUUUUGUCUCGUUUCUUUGAUGCUACCAAAACGGAAGCUUGUCUAUCUGCUUUGCUAUUCAAAUCAAACUCAUUGUCGAGUUUGUCCUUACUCAACAAAUGACCUUUCACAUCUUCGAACGAGAGUUUGUCUCUGCCAUAAAUCAGGGUCUCCCUGAAAGACUUGUAUGAAGAGGGUAAAGAGCACAAUAAUAGCAUAGCUUGAUCUUCAUCGUCAAUAUGAACCUCAACGUUCUUUAAAUCAUUUAAAAGAGUAAUGAAUUGACUGAUGUGAUCUUUAAGAAGCUCACCUUCGUUCAUGCGAAACGUAAAUAGACGUUGUUUCAACACUAAACGGUUAGCCAGAGACUUAGUCGCAUAAAGAGUUUCUAACCUUUUCCACAAGGCGAAUGAGGUCUUCUCCAUCAAUACCUCCUGCAAUACUGUAUUCGCGAGGCACAACUGGAUUGCAGACAAGGCCUUUUCAUCAAGCUCUUCCCAUUCUGUUUGAUUUAGAUUCUCAGGCUUUUUCCCUGUAACAACCUUUUUCAAGCCAUUUUGAACUAGAAUUGCCAUCAUCCGAACUUGCCACAGAUUGAAAUUUGUCUCACCAUCGAACUUCUCAAUUUCAAACCUUGUUGCUGCCAUCUCUGACCGGGCUGAUCUAUAAAAGUUAAACUAGCUCUGAUAUCACUUGUUAGGAUCGUCCCGAUUAAGCAACGAAUAAGUAAAAAUAGUAGAAGAAAUUGAGAAGAUGAACACACAAAUUUAACGUGGAAAAACCCCUCAAAAGAGGAUAAAAAACCACGGGCAAAGAUAAUUUUACUAUAAUGGCAAAAGAAUGAAGAGUACAAAAGAUGGAGAUAAAAACUAAACCCCGAAAACCCGAAAAACAAAGAACCCUCAAACGUAAACACAAAAUUCUCUGAAUGUGUUAUGAGUUCUAAUCUAAUGGGUGUCUCUUAAUUCUAAGAUUGUAAAGGAGCCUAUUUAUAGGCUAAAUUAGUAAGUCAAAUAAACUAUACUAAUAAAUGCUAAAUAUAUUAUACUAAUAAAUACUAAAUCUUCUAGAAAGAAAAUAUAUUUUUGUUUAACUUGACUUGCAAGCAAUCUCUUAGAAUUUGGGUCACACAAUUCUAACAAAAUAAAUAUUAUAUAUAUAAUUCUAAAGGAAUAUUUACUUUAUAAUUCUAUUUUUGCAAUUACCAAAUACAAUAAAAAAUUUACCCGUUUGAAAAUUCUAAUGGUGAUAUGCUUCCAAUUCCAAAACAUGUCAUAUUUUUUUCGAGUGGUAAUCUUGCACAUUUCUUGGCUACCUUAAUUGCUGUAGAUCGCAGCUCCUCAUUGUAAUGCCCAAUUAUUUCCCGGGCCCAGUUGAAUAAAAUUCAAUGUUUAAAGUCCAAAUAUACAGGCCCAAAUCAGAAAUUACAAGCCCAAAUUAGCCUAAACAUUGGGAAAUCAGAAACCCUAGGCAGCAAACUAAGCCGCCGCAACAUCCUUGCAACACGUCCCUUCGCUUUCCCCCCGCGCGCGCCUAGCUUCUGCGUGCGUACGCCUCCAGCUGGCCUCUGUACACCUGUAGCAAACGCAACAAACGCAAAAAAAACAACCAGCAACGACAAAGAAAACAGAAAACAAAAUAGCAAGGAAAGAAAAGAAAUAACAGAAGAGAUUUUGGGAUUUUUUAUUUAUUUUUAUUUUCUUUUCGAUUCGGUUAUAUAAGACCGAUUCCAACACUGUAAAGGGAUCCUUUUUUCACAGAAAUUGAAUAUAAAAACAAGAAAAAAAAUUCAAAGAAAAUUUCGUAAGGUUUUUUUAGUCUCUCUUCGUUUUUCUGUAUUUUUCUUUUAUUCUUUUGUUCAUUGCUAGUGUAAAUAAAUAAAAGAGAAAGGAAGUUUAGAGCGAGGAGUUUACCUUUGUUGUGGAGCCGAAUCCUUGUCUUCUCCAUCGUAAUCGGAGAUCGGGCGAAGGAUCGGAGAGCCUUUGAGUGGCUGGUCUACGGAGCGGCGUAGAGGAGCAUGUUUAGCUUAGGUUUUUUUUUUGUUUUGUUAAAAUGAAAUGGCUACUAGUUUUAGGGUUACUUAGGUUUAGUUUUUUUUUAUUUAAUACUGAUUAUUGAAACGGUGUCGUUUAGACCUGGUUUCAAUGGUUUAAAACGGCGUCGUUUAAAGGCCUUCGACUCGUGCGGUGACCCGACCCGAGGGAAGGAUCCGCGCAUUUUGUUCGACGGUCUAUUUGCGCGUAUAGUCCCUCCACUUUUCAAGGUCGUUUCAAUCCAGUACUUUUAUCUCUUUUCGAAUUUAAUCUCUUAUUUCAUUUUUGUUUCAUUUUAAUCCCAGCUUGCAACGCCGCGUUUUGGGGAAGCGGGAUAUUUCCCAAUCGGCUUCCCAUAUAAUCUGCGCAUUGCAGUAUAGCCCCCCACUUUAGCUUAAUCUUAUUUAGUCCCUGUUAUUUCGAUUUUGUUUGUGAUUUAAUCCUUCUUAUUAUUUAGUUUUUUUUUUAGAAAAUUCGUUGUUAUUUUUAUUAUCAUACUUAUUCUUUAUAUUGUAUUAUUUUUUUAUUUAUUAUAUUUGUUUAUAUAUAUUUAACUUUAUAUUUUAUAGAAAGUUAAUUUCUAAUAAUGAUACUUCAUAUUUUUAUAUAUGUAUAUAUAGUAUUUUUUAGUAUACAUACGUGUAUAUAUAUAAUAAUAUGUUAUUAAUUUCAAAUGAUAUUUUUUAUGCACAGAAAUCUUAUUCCUUUUAAAUUUGUUAUUUUAUUUCAUUUAUUUAACUUUUGUAUAUUAUUACCAUGUAUGUAUUAUUAUUUUUAUACUAGAUUUUAUUUUUAUAAAUCAAAACGUAGAUACUAAUUUUAUGCUAUUCACUUUUAUUUUACUUCCUUUUUUUAAAUCUUUCAUUAGAAUUUAUUCACACCCUUUAUUUGUUUUUUUGUUCAAUUACCAAAAUUGUAUCAAGUAUUCAUCUUAUUCAUUGUUAUUAUAUUUUUCCUUUUUUUCUCAUUGUUUCGAAGUUUUUUUUAUUUAUUGAUUAUUAAUUUUUAGGUUGCUUAAUUAUUAACAUGGAUGUUUGUAUAACAUGAUUAAAGAAUGUUUGUAUUAGUUUAAGUUUAGAUAGUUUAUUUAUCUUUUACAUUAUAUGUAUUGCUAUUCAAUUAUGUUCUAUAUGUAAUAAUUGUAUGUUAUUAAAGCGUUAUAAUCGUUUUAUUUCAUAAUUCCUAAAUAACUUGGUGUUCAUAAGUUCUCGAGAAUUGUGACUUAACUUACUGGGCUUUAAUUCUUUUCGAUGAAUUUAGAUAAUCAAAUGUUGGUUUUAUUAAAACUAUACAAUUGUUAAAAUAAAGUUCUUAAGAUCUCAAAAUGCUGAAUCCUAACUUAUUGGAUACAAUGUUUUGUUAUCUCAAUAAAGGCAAUGUUUGAUGUUUGAGAAUAUCAAGAAAUUAAACCCUAACUUACUGAGUUUCAAUUUCUCGAUGGACUUAGAUAAUCAAAUAACCCUCUUAAAACACAUGAUUUUCUUAAAAAGGGACAAAUUUAAUUUCAAAGAUUGAAUCGUUGCACCCUAACUUACUGAGUGUGACAAUUUAUUUCUUUAAAAUAAAUGAAUCUCAUCAUCCAAUUCAUUUUAUUCAAAUUUUCUCUUCAAAGGAUUGUAUUCUAAAAUCUUUUCAAAUUCUCGACACUAAGACAUUAAACAAUCGAUUCGGUACCAAUUUUGGGCGUUACGAGAGUGCUAACCAUUCCUCGUGCGUAACCGACUCCCGAACUUGUUUUCUCAAAUUUUGCAGACCAAAAUCAUUUUUAAUGGUGAACCGGUCACACCUCAAUAAAAGAUCGGUGGCGACUCCCAUUUUUGUUUUUAAAGUCGAUAACUUAUUUUUGUUUUCAAAAAGUGGUUUUAACACUCAUCACUUUCAAAACUGUCCCUGGCCAUCUUCUUAAAGAACUCCCAAGCUUCUUCGUCAUCUAAAUCAACAAUUGCAAAGGUCAUUGUAGCAUCCAUCCCAUUGCUUAGAACAUUUUGAUUUCUUGAGGUCAACAGUAUUUUGCAUCCUUUGUGUUGACUUCCAAAUGGAAUCCCGACUUCCUCUAGAUCCAGUUUCUUCCAAAGAUCAUCCAAAAUAAUAAGAACAUUUUUCUCCUUCCUUAACCUUCCAUACAAUUUACGGGCUCUUACAUCCGGACUGUUUUCUUCAAACUUCAAACCCAAUGAGUAUGCUAUUUGGUCUUGGAUUUCCUUAAUGUCAGGAAUUUGAGAUACAGUUGCCCUAACUACUGAAUCGAAUAACUUAACCUCAACCUCAUGGAGUUGUCUCUCAACUUCUUUGACCAGCCAUGUUUUGCCCACACCAGCCAUUCCGUACACUCCAAUCAUGCUUGUUGUUGCAUCUUUCAGUGACUCCAUGAUAUCAUUGAAAACCUCCUCUCUUGAUUUAAAGGCCUCAAAGUCUGUAUGGAUUAUGGGUUCAGCAACAUCAGGGUAUCCC